rnacentral:piRNA from 1 species
UCAAAGUGAUAAUUAAAACAUAAUGUGUACC